rnacentral:rRNA from 1 species
GAUGAACGCUAGCUACAGGCUUAACACAUGCAAGUCGCGGGGCAGCAUGGGGGUUGCUUGCAAUCCCCGAUGGCGACCGGCGCACGGGUGAGUAACGCGUAUCCAACCUGCCCUUCACCACGGGAUAACCCGGCGAAAGUCGGACUAAUACCGUAUGUUGUCCAUUGACGGCAUCCGAUUGUGACGAAAGGCUUGGGGGUGAGGGAUGGGGAUGCGUCCGAUUAGCCAGACGGCGGGGUAACGGCCGACCGGGGCUACGAUCGGGAGGGGUUCUGAGAGGAAGGUCCCCCACACUGGAACCGAGAAACGGGCCAGACUCCUACGGGAGGCAGCAGUGAGGAAGAUUGGUCAAUGGGCGUAAGCCUGAACCAGCCAAGUAGCGUGCAGGAUGACGGCCCUAUGGGUUGUAAACUGCUUUUAUGCGGGGAUAAAGUGGCCCACGUGUGGGCUUUUGCAGGUACCGCAUGAAUAAGGACCGGCUAAUUCCGUG